rnacentral:rRNA from 1 species
UACAGAGGUCCCAAGCGUUGUUCGGAUUCAUUGGGCGUAAAGGGUGCGUAGGCGGCGCGGUAAGUCGGGUGUGAAAUCUCGGGGCUUAACUCCGAAACUGCAUUCGAUACUGCCGUGCUUGAGGACUUGAGAGGAGACUGGAAUUUACGGUGUAGCGGUGAAAUGCGUAGAUAUCGUAAGGAAGACCAGUGGCGAAGGCGGGUCUCUGGACAGUUCCUGACGCUGAGGCACGAAGGCCAGGGGAGCAAACGGG